rnacentral:rRNA from 1 species
GAUGAACGCUGGCGGCGUGCCUAAUACAUGCAAGUCGAGCGAACAGACGAGGAGCUUGCUCCUCUGACGUUAGCGGCGGACGGGUGAGUAACACGUGGAUAACCUACCUAUAAGACUGGGAUAACUUCGGGAAACCGGAGCUAAUACCGGAUAAUAUAUUGAACCGCAUGGUUCAAUAGUGAAAGACGGUUUUGCUGUCACUUAUAGAUGGAUCCGCGCCGCAUUAGCUAGUUGGUAAGGUAACGGCUUACCAAGACAACGAUGCGUAGCCGACCUGAGAGGGUGAUCGGCCGCACUGGAACUGAGACACGGUCCAGACUCCUACGGGAGACAGCAGUAGGGAAUCUUCCGCAAUGGGCGAAAGCUUGACGGAGCAACGCCGCGUGAGUGAUGAAGGUCUUCGGAUCGUAAAACUCUGUUAUUAGGGAAGAACAAAUGUGUAAGUAACUAUGCACGUCUUGACGGUACCUAAUCAGAAAGCCACGGCUAACUACGUG